rnacentral:rRNA from 1 species
AGCAGCCGCGGUAAUUCCAGCUCCAAUAGCGUAUAUUAAAGUUGUUGCAGUUAAAAAGCUCGUAGUUGAAUUUCGGGAUCAGUACGCUGGUCGUGCCUUUGGUAUGUACUGGUGUCACUGAUUCCUCCCUUCUGAAGAACCGUUAUGCCAUUUAUUUGGUGUGGCGGGGAAUCAGGACUGUUACUUUGAAAAAAUUAGAGUGUUUAAAGCAGGCUCGCGCUUGAAUACAUUAGCAUGGAAUAAUGAAAUAGGACGUUUGAUCUUAUUUUGUUGGUUUCUAGGAUCGACGUAAUGAUUAAUAGGGAUAGUUGGGGGCAUUAGUAUUCAAUUGUCAGAGGUGAAAUUCUUGGAUUUAUUGAAGACUAACUACUGCGAAAGCAUUUGCCAAGGAUGUUUUCAUUAAUCAAGAACGAAAGUUAGGGGAUCGAAGACGAUCAGAUACCGUCGUAGUCUUACCAUAAACUAUGCCGACUAGGGAUCGGAUGAUGUUAUUUUUAAUGA